CAGGCAGAAGGAACAAGCAAGCAGUGCAAAUCAGAGGGGUACCGGGAGGUCUAUGCUGCAGGUCCUUAUGGAGUGGGAGGAGAAAUCCCGGUCUCUACCUGCACUGCUUUGCAAGGGUGUCUGCAUCCAGCAUGCAACGGAGCUGUGCUAAAAACCAGGUGUCCUUGAGGAGACCAGCACACACAGACACAGGCAACUCUGCCACUCUCCCAGCAAUAAAGAUCCUCGUUGGAGGGUUUCAGCUCUGAACAAGGGACAACAGUUGAGAAUAUACCACUAGGCAGUGAGCAUGUCACCCACCCCCAGGAGUUACCAUAGGCCAUCACAGUGUUUGCCCAGCAUCAGUAAGCAAUCACAAGUCCACUUUUUGCAGGACUAAUUGAGAUAACUCUCAUAAAUGAAUUGCCAAGCCAUCUUCAGCCUCACAGGACAGUAGCAACCACUUUGGAAACUAUGUGCUAUAAAAUUAAUAUUCACUGCCACCCAUCCCAAGCAGCAAUAAUAUCUCCUACUUGACAAAUGCCUCCAGUAAAACCAAGCAAAACACCUCCUUGCCAGCCACCCUCCAAAGAGCUGGAGCCCUACCCACUUCAUGUCACCCCUUGAAUUCUGCUCUCUCCUUGACUUUAUAUCAAAGCUGUACAGCAUGCUCGCUUAGGGUGUUAUGGUCCAAAGAGGAACAAUCGUGCCAUCUUAGGGAGAAGAGUGUGUAAACCUGAAUUACAGCUCUGCUACAUAACUCCCCAAAUCCUCUCUGGCCAGGUCCCUCGGAGAAGAUGCAUAGGGACGCCCAGAUCAGACAUCCUGGGGGCACUCAAGUGUAACUAAAGGUCUUGUUGUACAGUGCAGAAGACACUGGGAAAAUUGAAUGUCUCUGGAGAUAGGCUGCGAGACUAUAUUUAGAGCUGGGACUCGGAUGCCUAAAUCCCUUUAUGGAUCUGAUGCAUGGAACUGUGGCUUGCCUUAAUUUCAGCCUCAGAAGGGAAAGGCAAGAGGGAGGCCUGAGGAAACCCCAGAUUCCUUCUCAUCAGGCUGCUUACUGAAUAGACUUUAAUAGAUCAGGGAGUAAAAACCAUGGUUGAGUCUAACUACUUUGAAAUUCUUCAAUAUUAAUUUUUUUUCUAUAGCAAGCAUGCUAUGAAAUAAUAGGAAGAUGACCCCAUGUUUCCAAAAAAUAAAAAAAGUCAUCACAAAAUCCACAGCUGGUCCACAUUUGCAAUAAGCUGUUUAAAACAAAAUAAACCAAUGCAUUUGCUCCAAGAAAUACGCAUUAGGCACUGGCAGCUUGCUUCCCUCAUUCCUCUAUCCCCAAGUACUUAAGCUGAAAGGAGGGGAAAACCUUGAAGUAAUGUAUGCGUGAAAAAGCCCUGAGAACAAUAGCUGCUCUCCAGUUGACUCCAAAGCUGUUAUUAAACUUGAGGUUCCCAUGCUAGCAGAGCACAGCUUGAGCAGCAUGCUCUCUACUCACCACCAGCAUCACCAGGCUCUGAUAAUGCAAGCAAGUCAGAUUUCCACCUACAAAUUCCUGGAAGUUCAUAGCCUAAGGAGCAACAUGCCAAUAUCUUGGUAUGAGCAGGCUCAGCUGAAUAGCAUUGUGGAACCCUCCCCUGCUAGAGCAAAAUAUCAACGGACUAAUCCUUCGAUCAGAAUGGGCAGGCUCCUACUUAGAGCCAAACAUCACCGUUGUGUUUUAAAUUGAACUUUUCUCAGUGGUCUUCAGAACGAGGUGCAGUCAAUAUGAAGCAGUUAGAGUAUGUGUGUGAUACAAACCCUACCCAAACCCUCAACUCUAGAUGAGGAUAAAGAUUGGGUCAAAAAAAGCAAGCAUCCAGAAGCUGGCCAAUGGUCUCUUUAGCCCAUUAUAAUCACCCCCCCCAAACCCAUUCCACACUGCGGCAGCAGCAUACAUACCAUCUGAACAUACCAUCCAAAGCUGUUUCACUGAACCUCCCACCCAGAGAAGGGGAAGACAUUUCAUUCUGCAUGGGUUGGAAGAAGGAGAUAGAUGGUUCAGCAUUGCACCAGCACCACAGGAAGCCACAGACUCCAUCAAUGAGCUAUGAGAAGAUGCAACAUGGUGGGGAAGAUAAACAGAGAGCAGUGACUGCACCACGGUUCAAGACAGAGCAUCAGAACAACUAGCUUAGACCUAUUUUCAGGUGUUAAAAGUCCCCAGGGAAGAAGGAAUGAAACACUAAGAAGGAAAGCUAAGAGAAAUAGAGCCCACUUAAAAGCAGCAGCUCAUCACUGUAAAUAUAUCUGUGCAGUUUAUGUUGUUUAUUUUCAAUAAACCAAACCACCUAUCAUUUCAA